UACGGAGGGAGCUAGCGUUAUUCGGAUUUACUGGGCGUAAAGGGCACGUAGGCGGUAUAACAAGUUGGAAGUGAAAGCCCAAGGCUCAACCUUGGAACUGCUUUCAAAACUGUUAAACUAGAGAUCGAUAGGGGACAGUGGAAUUCCUAGUGUAGAGGUGAAAUUCUUAGAUAUUAGGAGGAACACCGGAGGCGAAGGCGACUGUCUGGAUCGAUACUGACGCUGAGGUGCGAAAGCGUGGGGAGCAAAC
rnacentral:rRNA from 1 species